GUGUCAGCCGCCGCGGUAAUACGUAGGUGGCAAGCGUUGUCCGGAAUUAUUGGGCGUAAAGCGCGCGCAGGUGGUUUCUUAAGUCUGAUGUGAAAGCCUACGGCUUAACCGUGGAGGGUCAUUGGAAACUGGGAGACUUGAGUGCAGAAGAGGAAAGUGGAAUUCCAAGUGUAGCGGUGAAAUGCGUAGAGAUUUGAAGGAACACCAGUGGCGAAGGCGAGUUUCUGGACUGCAACUGACGCUGAGGCGCGAAAGCAUGGGGAGCAAACAGGAUGAGAUACCCUGGUAGUCCACGCCGUAAACGAUGAGUGCUAAGUGUUAGGGGGUUUCAGCCCCUUUGUGCUGCAGCUAACGCAAUAAGCACUCCGCCUGGGGAGUACGAUCGCAAGAUUGAAACUUAAAUGAAUUGGCGG
rnacentral:rRNA from 1 species